GAAAAAGAAUGGCGUCCAACGAGUGAAGAGGUCUGAGGUGCAGCUUCAGCAGGAGUGAUGUCUGGCUGCUCCUCUGGAUGCCCUGGCCUGGAACUGGUGGUGACACCCAGGUCCUGUCCCCGUCCAGCAGCAUGAGGAGAUGAUCAUGUCUGGAUAAUCUCCCUGAUCCCCUGAGAGCCCUGAGAAUUUCCCCUGAA